rnacentral:lncRNA from 1 species
CUAGGAUAAUGAAUUCAAACUUAGUUUGUAUGCACCAAAUAUAUUCUAGUUUCAGAAUUAAAUAAGAAUUUGCAUCUGAAAUGAACAUCAAAUCACAUCUUGUGGAGAAUGAUCAUGCCUAUCUAUCUAAAGUUGCAAAGCCCUACCUAAGUAUUCAAAAAAAGUGCAGAUCUAGCUUAAGCGAAAUUAGAAACUUAACUCACCCUGACCAUCAGGAAUUCUAGCCUAAAUUCCAACCAUGUCAGGAGGGGGAAAAGAGAGUGAUAAAAGAGAACAAGGAGCUAUAGAAGAGAGGAGGUAUUGGUAGACUAUCUUACCAAGAAGCUUCAAUUUAUUGGACCUGCAACCAACACUUCAAAAAGAGUGAUAAAAGAGAACAAUGAGCUAAAGAAGAAAGGAGGUAUUGUAGACCAUCUUACCACGAAGCUUCAAUUUAUUGUACCUGUAACCAACACUCAAAAACAGACAUUGGUAUGGCACUUGAUACAGGUCCAUAAGAAGAAAUUCUUAAAUAUUGAAUGGAUCUGACACUU